rnacentral:RNase_P_RNA from 1 species
ACUAGGCAAUCGCUUGAUUUCUGUCAAGAGGAAAGUCCGGGCAACAAAGGACACGACAGUCGCUAACGGCGACCAGGGGUGACCCUAGGGAAAGUGCCACAGAAACAAAACUACCCAUAGCUAUGGGAAAAGGUGAAACGAGUAAGGUAAGAGCUUACAGCUUACUAUGGCGACAUAGUAAGGAGGUAAACCCUGUCGGUUGCAAGGAGAUCUACAUUUCGGGUGUCCGCCUGUAGGUCGAGAACCGCUUGAUUCAUUUGGCAACAAAUGAACUAGAUAGAUGAUUGCCCACGACAGAACCCGGCUUAUCGGUGGACUG